GACGAACCGUGCGAACGUUGUUCGGAAUCACUGGGCGUAAAGGGCGCGUAGGUGGCCUUCUAAGUUGAACGUGAAAUCCCUGGACUCAACCCAGGAACUGCGUCCAAGACUGGGAGGCUUGAAUCCGGGAGAGGGAUGCGGAAUUCCAGGUGUAGCGGUGAAAUGCGUAGAUAUCUGGAGGAACACCGGUGGCGAAGGCGGCAUCCUGGACCGGGAUUGACACUGAGGCGCGAAAGCCAGGGGAGCAAACGGG
rnacentral:rRNA from 1 species